CCUCCUCCUCUUGCUCUGGCGUUCUCUUCGUUGCCCUGUCUGCCUUCCUGUGGUGGAACCCCAGCCGGCAGCUCAGCCCCAGGCAGCCGCUCGCUCAUUCUCCUCACUGGGAUUGGGGAGAGAAUCAGAAGGUAUGCUCCAGGAAAGGAAGAGACAGAGAGUGAAGGAGGCAGAGGUGCCUGUUUACCAUCCCCAGUUGCUUGCUGAGCUUUUCUUCAUCUACAGAUGAUGAAGUAGUUUCUAAGAAAAAAAUUAUCUAUUGUGCAUUAAUGUAGUUUUCAAGGAAAAUCCCUUCUGAAUCAUCACAAAUGUUCUGUAAUAGUUAUUAGAGGACCUAUUUGCAUCCAUAAAUAGUUUCUUUUAUACUUAACUUCAAACCAAGUGUCUUUCCAGCUUGAAUUAAAGUGUUGCUUUGUCAGACCA